GGACCCGCACAAGUAGUGGAGCAUGUGGUUUAAUUCGAAGAUACGCGCAGAACCUUACCAACACUUGACAUGUUCGUCGCGACUUUAAGAGAUUAAAGUUUUCGGUUCGGCCGGACGAAACACAGGUGCUGCAUGGCUGUCGUCAGCUCGUGUCGUGAGAUGUUGGGUUAAGUCCCGCAACGAGCGCAACCCUCACUUUUAGUUGCCAUCAUUUAGUUGGGCACUCUGAAAGAACUGCCAGUGAUAAGCUGGAGGAAGGUGGGGAUGACGUCAAGUCCUCAUGGCCCUUACGUGUUGGGCUACACACGUGCUACAAUGGUAUCUACAACAGGAAGCAAGACGGCGACGUUUAGCAAAUCCUAAAAAGAUACUCAGUUCGGAUUGCACUCUGCAACUCGAGUGCAUGAAGCUGGAAUUACUAGUAA
rnacentral:rRNA from 1 species